GAUGAACGCUGGCGGCGUGCCUAACACAUGCAAGUCGAGCGAAGCGCUGUUUUCAGAAUCUUCGGAGGAAGAGGACAGUGACUGAGCGGCGGACGGGUGAGUAACGCGUGGGCAACCUGCCUCAUACAGGGGGAUAACAGUUAGAAAUGACUGCUAAUACCGCAUAAGCGCACAGGACCGCAUGGUGUAGUGUGAAAAACUCCGGUGGUAUGAGAUGGACCCGCGUCUGAUUAGGUAGUUGGCGGGGUAAAGGCCUACCAAGCCGACGAUCAGUAGCCGACCUGAGAGGGUGACCGGCCACAUUGGGACUGAGACACGGCCCAAACUCCUACGGGAGGCAGCAGUGGGGAAUAUUGCACAAUGGGGGAAACCCUGAUGCAGCGACGCCGCGUGAAGGAAGAAGUAUUUCGGUAUGUAAACUUCUAUCAGCAGGGAAGAAAAUGACGGUACCUGAGUAAGAAGCAC
rnacentral:rRNA from 1 species